GGGCAGUGGUCAAUCACUUCUCUUCAAACUGACAGCCUGGCACAAGGGGUGUUCCCAGGGAUUGAUGCUGGGCCCAGCACUGUGUAUUUUUCAGAGUGAUCUAGAAGAUGGGAUCAAUGCUGGUGCAGUUUCCCAAUGAUAAUAUACUGGUUGAGGAAGCAGAUGCUUGCAAAGGGAGAGCCACCCUGUAGAAAGACCUGGAUAAGCUGGAAUAGUGGGCUGAUGAGAACAUUGUGAAGGCACAGAAAUGCAAAAAGAUUACCACAAGGUCUGUACAACCCUCAGAGAAGAAGAGAAACAAGCCAGAAGAGCGACAGUUCAAGCUCAG